rnacentral:rRNA from 1 species
AUUGAACGCUGGCGGCAGGCCUAACACAUGCAAGUCGAACGAGUGGCGGACGGGUGAGUAAUGCUUGUGACUCUAGCUUAUGGAGGGCGAUAACUACGGGAACCUGUAGCUAAUACCGCAUUCCAUAGGCUGAGUCCCAGUGGGAUUAGGUAGUUGGUGGGGUAAAGGCUCACCAAGCCGACGAUCUCUAGCUGGUCUGAGAGGAUGACCAGCCACACUGGGACUGAGACACGGCCCAGACUCCUACGGGAGGCAGCAGUGGGGAAUAUUGCGCAAUGGGCGCAAGCUGAUGCAGCCAUGCCGCGUGAAUGAAGAAGGCCUUCGGGUUGUAAAGUUCUUUCGGUAGGGAGGCGUUACCUACAGAAGAAGCACCGGCUAACUCCGUGCCAGCAGCCGCGGUAAUAC